UACGUAGGGUGCAAGCAUUAAUCGGAAUUAUUGGGCGUAAAGGGCGCGUAGGCGGAUUCGUAAGUCAGAUGUGAAAUUCCAAAGCUCACCUUUGGAGCUGCAUUUGAUACUGUGAAUCUUAAGAGGAUUGGCGGAGAAAACGGAAUUCCACAUGUAGCGGUGAAAUGCGUGGAUAUGUGGAGGAACACCUGUGGCGAAAGCGGUUUUCUAGCUUAUUUCCUGACGCUGAGGCGCGAGAGCAAGGGGAGCA
rnacentral:rRNA from 1 species